UACGUAGGUGGCAAGCGUUGUCCGGAUUUACUGGGCGUAAAGAGCGCGCAGGCGGUCGGAUAAGUCGAAUGUGAAAGCCCCCGGCUUAACUGGGGAGGGUCAUUCGAUACUGUUCGACUCGAAGGCAGGAGAGGGAAGUGGAAUUCCCGGUGUAGUGGUGAAAUGCGCAGAUAUCAGGAGGAACACCAAUUGCGAAGGCAGCUCGCUGGGACGUUACUGACGCUGAGACGCGAAAGCGUGGGGAGCAAACAGG
rnacentral:rRNA from 1 species